UCUUCCCUCUUUCUUCGUGCCUCCUCCCUGCACGUCGAGCGCACGGACGAGAAGCUUGCUUCUCUGAUGUUAGCGGCGGACGGGUGAGUAACACGUGGAUAACCUACCUAUAAGACUGGGAUAACUUCGGGAAACCGGAGCUAAUACCGGAUAAUAUUUUGAACCGCAUGGUUCAAAAGUGAAAGACGGUCUUGCUGUCACUUAUAGAUGGAUCCGCGCUGCAUUAGCUAGUUGGUAAGGUAACGGCUUACCAAGGCAACGAUGCAUAGCCGACCUGAGAGGGUGAUCGGCCACACUGGAACUGAGACACGGUCCAGACUCCUACGGGAGGCAGCAGUAGGGAAUCUUCCGCAAUGGGCGAAAGCCUGACGGAGCAACGCCGCGUGAGUGAUGAUGGUCUUCGGAUCGUAAAACUCUGUGAUUAGGGAAGAACAUAUGUGUAAGUAACUGUGCACAUCUUGACGGUACCUAAUCAGAAAGCCACGGCUAACUACGUG
rnacentral:rRNA from 1 species